CAAGGCUGAGGUGUGAUGACGAGGCACUACGGUGCUGAAGUAACAAAUGCCCUGCUUCCAGGAAAAGCCUCUAAGCAUCAGGUAACAUCAAAUCGUACCCCAAACCGACACAGGUGGUCAGGUAGAGAAUACCAAGGCGCUUGAGAGAACUCGGGUGAAGGAACUAGGCAAAAUGGUGCCGUAACUUCGGGAGAAGGCACGCUGGUGUGUAGGUGAAGCCCCUGCGGGUGGAGCUGAGACCAGUCGAAGAUACCAGCUGGCUGCAACUGUUUAUUAAAAACACAGCACUGUGCAAACACGAAAGUGGACGUAUACGGUGUGACGCCUGCCCGGUGCCGGAAGGUUAAUUGAUGGGGUUAUCCGUAAGGAGAAGCUCUUGAUCGAAGCCCCGGUAAACGGCGGCCGUAACUAUAACGGUCCUAAGGUAGCGAAAUUCCUUGUCGGGUAAGUUCCGACCUGCACGAAUGGCGUAAUGAUGGCCAGGCUGUCUCCACCCGAGACUCAGUGAAAUUGAACUCGCUGUGAAGAUGCAGUGUACCCGCGGCAAGACGGAAAGACCCCGUGAACCUUUACUAUAGCUUGACACUGAACAUUGAGCCUUGAUGUGUAGGAUAGGUGGGAGGCUUUGAAGCGUGGACGCCAGUCUGCGUGGAGCCAACCUUGAAAUACCACCCUUUAAUGUUUGAUGUUCUAACGUUGGCCCCUUACCGGGGUUGCGGACAGUGUCUGGUGGGUAGUUUGACUGGGGCGGUCUCCUCCCAAAGCGUAACGGAGGAGCACGAAGGUUAGCUAAUCCUGGUCGGACAUCAGGAGGUUAGUGCAAUGGCAUAAGCUAGCUUGACUGCGAGCGUGACGGCGCGAGCAGGUGCGAAAGCAGGUCAUAGUGAUCCGGUGGUUCUGAAUGGAAGGGCCAUCGCUCAACGGAUAAAAGGUACUCCGGGGAUAACAGGCUGAUACCGCCCAAGAGUUCAUAUCGACGGCGGUGUUUGGCACCUCGAUGUCGGCUCAUCACAUCCUGGGGCUGAAGUAGGUCCCAAGGGUAUGGCUGUUCGCCAUUUAAAGUGGUACGCGAGCUGGGUUUAGAACGUCGUGAGACAGUUCGGUCCCUAUCUGCCGUGGGCGCUGGAGAAUUGAGGGGGGCUGCUCCUAGUACGAGAGGACCGGAGUGGACGCAUCACUGGUGUUCGGGUUGUCAUGCCAAUGGCACUGCCCGGUAGCUAAAUGCGGAAGAGAUAAGUGCUGAAAGCAUCUAAGCACGAAACUUGCCCCGAGAUGAGUUCUCCCUGAGACUUUAAGUCUCCUGAAGGAACGUUGAAGACGACGACGUUGAUAGGCCGGGUGUGUAAGCGCAGCGAUGCGUUGAGCUAACCGGUACUAAUGAACCGUGAGGCUUAACCUUACAACGCCGAAG
rnacentral:rRNA from 2 species